CGUGUAUAUCAGCACGAAAUUACUUGGGAGGAGGUCGGCGAAAUAAUCGCCGGAUAUAUGUCGAUCCAGUAUCAUUAGCUUUUUGCUGUUCAGUAUGACUAGAAACAAUGAUGAUUCUUUCCAACAGUUGCUCAAUGCAUACCUGACGAUUACGGAGAAAUGCUUCAGACAAUGUAUCCAUAAGAAUGAAAGAGCCGAGUUGAAACUUAGAGAGGUUCGACGUUAUGAGGCCUGUGUAAAACGAGAAAUGAAGCUGUACAGAGAAGAUAUGUACAAUAAAAAUACAGAGUGGA